GACACAACACUGAAAUGGGAACCAUAGACAAAUCCUGAGACUCUUUUUGUACUAUACUUCCUUUCCUGUUAUACAGAAUAACAGUUACAAACCAGCAAGACAAAGAGUUGAUGUGAUUACCAUUGUAACAAUACACUUCAGAGUGUCUGUGUUUCCCUCAUCUUGUCUCUCUGGGAUUGUCUUGACUGGUAACUCCUGCUUUGUGAACCAUACAACUCCACAUUGCUGAAGAGGAAUGACAUCUUUGGCCAAAACCAAGUAUUCUUCUAUGGAAUAUUCCCUGUAAAACCUGAAGUGGCAUCUGGUGCUUUCAUAGAAGAACUGGAAGAUAAGAGUGGCAGAAGCAAGUUUAAGCAUUGAAGGACAUUGGAGAACAAGUCAGACACAAUUCCUGUGAAAGGUCCAUGGAAACUUGAGCUGCUGGAGUCACUUGUGACCAGAUGUGUUUGGGGACCAGAGUAAAAGAUAAAAUAUAAUUGUAUCAGAAUCAGAGAAUCAAAUGGACUAUAACUACAAAAUAAAAUAUAUUUUUGUGAAGAAACUAAUGGCAGUGAGGAACUCAACUAAGCAGUGAUGACUGGUGGAGAGUGGGGAAGGCAGACAAGAUGCUCCAUUGGGAACAGAUGGCUUUCUGGAAAUCUCCCAACAAGGACUACUCCUGGAAUAGAUUUCAUCUGCAAGCCCCACGCAGAGCUUCUGACAUGGGAGGAAGUGGAAUCUCUGCUCUUAACUCUUGGCCAGCAAUCCUAGCUGUGGGAGGAACAAAGCCUUGAAUACAGUCAUUAAAAUUCAAUGCAACAAUUACAGUUAAUGUGCAUUAAUUUGGGCAUGUUAAGCUACUUAUUAUAUGCCAGAUAUAUUAUUGUAACUGGCAAUAACAAGGAUAUCAUCUUUAGCAGUGUCACAGAUUCUGUUAAGCAGAGACUCUGGUCUCAGUUGCUUGUUAAUAAACAUAAUUG